GCUCCCUACACAGCCCCACAGAGGUACCGGGGUCCCCCCUCAGUUCCUUCCGCCGUGCUCACUGUUUCAGACCAUCCUCCUCUUCAGCUCUCAGAGAACGUCAUUUUUACCAGGAAGAUCGAAGCCUUGGUUCUGGAGCUUCCUCAGCCUCCUGCCCUCCUCCCCUCUGGGAAGUGCCCCUGUUCUAUUCUGCACCUUCCAGCGUCUUUCCGGGCUUCUUCCCCCCUCAAGUUUCCCGGGCGUUGAGGAGGGCUGGCCGCCGCCUCGCCAAGCCCCGAGCUGAACCCGCUGAUGCCCAGGCCACCCGCUUGUGUCUUGAUCGCCGACUUGAGCUCGUGAUUCUCCCGAAUGAGCUGUACCAGCUUCUUCAGCUCCUCAUUCUCCCGCACCAGCCUCUCGAUCUGAUGCCGAAGCCCCUCAUAAUUGGUGCUCAAAGCCUUUCUCUGACUGCCGGCCUAGGGGCUCCCUUGUCCAAGCACCUGGCUCUCUAUAGCUUGGACUUUCCAUCUCUGGUGACUCAGGUUCCCCUAUUCCAAGUCCCCCAUGGCAGCCCUCUGUGCCCACAUCUCCGUUCUCUGACUGCUUGAAUUUUCCUGCCUGUGGUCCUUCGAGAACCCAAGACAUGCCCCUCGUCAGGUUGUCAGGUUCCGAGAAUUCAGACCUAUGAGUCCUCACCACGCUCUUUUUAAGAGCUAUCUACACAGAGAUCUUGGCGGGCCUGACCUUGGGAGUUAAGUGAGGCGGUGUCCCAGGGGUCUGCACGGGCGGUGUCGCCAUCUGUUCUCAGACGGAAAGGACAGUGAAGCCCAGGUCUAAGCCUGAGGGCGCGCUCCUGGUAGGCAGGCAGGGGUGAGGAUGGGCUUGGAGUCUGCCUGAGUUGAACAUUCUACCUGGACCUCACAAUGGGGGCCUGCCCCCACCCUCCUCGGACACCCUACACUGUAAUCCUGGCUGCGUCGCCCUGGCCCUGUAGGCCUGGCCGGACGUCUCUUCACCACCCUCUGCUGUUUGUAGGACAUCCCAUCCUCCGGCGUGGGAAAACGAGCCUCUCACGGCCUUCCGGGUCUCCUGUACCAUCCGGCCUGGCCUCACUGUUGGCCUCUCCUGGGGUCGAUGCAUCUGGGCUGGUGAAAUUGAUGGCUCAGCAUGGCUGGGUGCCCACGUGCUUGGUCAAACCCUGGUUCAGAUAUUGCUGUGAAAGUAUUUUGUAGUGUGAUAAACAUCUACAGUCGUUGAUUUUAAGUCAAGGAGGUCACCUUCAAUCCUGUGGGCAGACCUCAUCUAAUCAGCUGAAGGCCUGAAGAGCAGAAGGCUGGGGUUUUCCAGGAAAAGAGGAUGCUGGCCUCAGUGCUGUCCCGGAGGCCCUGCCUGAGCAUCCAGGCCACUGGCCUGUGGAUGUGGACAAUUGUAGGAGCCAGUUCCUUAAAAUAAGUCUCUUCAUGCCCGAGAAAUCUGACUGAUGUGCCAUCUGUAUUGGGUACCAGCGCUUCCGUCCUCCCAAAACUGUGUUCGGAGCCCCAGCUAGCGGCAGCCCUGUGUUGGAAUCACAAUAUUGUACACCUGAACUAGCCGCACACUGUAUG